rnacentral:lncRNA from 1 species
GGAACUCCCUGACCCCUUGCACUUCCCGAGUGAGGCAAUGCCUCGCCCUGCUUCGGUUUGCGCACGUUGCGCCCACCCACUGACCUGCGCCCACUGUCUGGCACUCCCUAGUGAGAUGAACCCGGUUCCUCAGAUGGAAAUGCAGAAAUCACCCGUCUUCUGCAUCACUCACGCUGGGAGCUGUAGACUGGAGCUGUUCCUGUUCGGCCAUCUUGGCUCCUACUCCUUAUUUUCGUAUUUUAUCUUUUGUGAAUAAUGCUGCAAUCAACAUUUCCAUGUGAAAAGCUUGGUGAAAGAUUUUAAGGACUUCCCAUUGGCUGAAGGCUGGCAAAUGGAGUUUGCUAUCCUCUGACUGCAGCCAUUCUGAGGACUGGAAAGAAUACCCUGAGAAGGGGCCUAUUUUAUUUCUGCAGGAAGGUACUGAGGUUUAAUUUAUCUUAUGGAGUCUUCCUAGAUUAGAAGGCUUUGAGGUGUGUUGAUGCCUUGCCAGUGACUUAGCUGCCUGAUCAGUGAACCUAUUUCCUUUGGCUACAUCAUCUGUUCCCCUUUUGAUGUUCCCUAUAAUGUAUCACUGCUAUUUCUCAUGGAAGAAAAC